rnacentral:rRNA from 1 species
ACGCUGGCGGCGUGGAUAAGACAUGCAAGUCGAGCGCUGAUUUCAGGGUAGCAAUAUUCUGAAGUCGGAGCGGCGCAAGGGUGCGUAACACGUGGGUAAUCUGCCAUGAAGUUUGGAAUAACUUGCUGAAAGGCGAGCUAAUACCGGAUGUGACCGUUGGGAGGCCUCUCCCGAUAGUUAAAGCUGGGGACCGUAAGGCCUGGCGCUUCAUGAUGAACCCGCGGCCUAUCAGCUAGUUGGUGAGGUAACGGCCCACCAAGGCUAAGACGGGUAGCUGGUCUGAGAGGACGACCAGCCACACUGGAACUGAGACACGGUCCAGACACCUACGGGUGGCAGCAGUCGAGAAUUUUUCACAAUGGGCGCAAGCCUGAUGGAGCGACGCCGCGUGGGGGAUGAAUGGCUUCGGCCCGUAAACCCCUGUCAUUCGCGAUCAAACGUUAUUAUUUAAAAGAUGAUGACCUGAUAGUAGCGGAAGAGGAAGGGACGGCUAACUCUGUGCCAGCAGCCGCGGUAAUACAGAGGUCCCAAGCGUUGUUCGGAUUCACUGGGCGUAAAGGGUGCGUANGUGGUGAGGUAAGUCGGAUGUGAAAUCUCGGAGCUCAACUCCGAAACUGCAUUGGAAACUACCUCGCUCGAGGGUUGGAGGGGGGACUGGAAUGCU